UACGUAGGUGGCAAGCGUUGUCCGGAUUUACUGGGCGUAAAGAGCGCGCAGGCGGCUGGUCAAGUCCGAUGUGAAAUCUCCCGGCUUAACUGGGAAACUGCAUCGGAAACUGAUCGGCUUGAAGGUGGGAGAGGGUAGUGGAAUUCCCGGUGUAGUGGUGAAAUGCGUAGAUAUCGGGAGGAACACCAGUGGCGAAGGCGGUUACCUGGAGCUUUGCUGACGCUGAUGCGCGAAAGCGUGGGGAGCGAUCCGG
rnacentral:rRNA from 1 species